rnacentral:rRNA from 1 species
CUGCCUGAUGGAGGGGGAUAACUACUGGAAACGGUAGCUAAUACCGCAUAACGUCGCAAGACCAAAGAGGGGGACCUUCGGGCCUCUUGCCAUCGGAUGUGCCCAGAUGGGAUUAGCUAGUAGGUGGGGUAACGGCUCACCUAGGCGACGAUCCCUAGCUGGUCUGAGAGGAUGACCAGCCACACUGGAACUGAGACACGGUCCAGACUCCUACGGGAGGCAGCAGUGGGGAAUAUUGCACAAUGGGCGCAAGCCUGAUGCAGCCAUGCCGCGUGUAUGAAGAAGGCCUUCGGGUUGUAAAGUACUUUCAGCGGGGAGGAAGGGAGUAAAGUUAAUACCUUUGCUCAUUGACGUUACCCGCAGAAGAAGCACCGGCUAACUCCGUGCCAGCAGCCGCGGUAAUACGGAGGGUGCAAGCGUUAAUCGGAAUUACUGGGCGUAAAGCGCACGCAGGCGGUUUGU